rnacentral:rRNA from 1 species
CCUACGGGUGGCAGCAGUGGGGAAUAUUGGGCAAUGGAGGCAACUCUUACCCAGCAACGCCGCGUGAAUGAAGAAGGUCUUCGGAUUGUAAAGUUCUUUAAUUGGGGACGAAAAAAAUGACGGUACUCAAGGAAUAAGCCCCGGCUAACUACGUGCCAGCAGCCGCGGUAAUACGUAGGGGGAAUCGUUGGUCGGAAUGAAUGGGCGUAAAGGGUGGGUAGGGGGGGUAGCAAGUUAGAAGUGAAAUACCUAGGGCUUAACUCAGGUGCGGCUUCUAAAACUGCUAGACUUGAGUGCAGUAGAGGAAAGUGGAAUUCCUGGUGUAGCAGUGGAAUGCGUAGAUAUUGGGAGGAACAUCAGUGGCGAAGGCGACUUUCUGGACUGUAACUGACGCUGAGGCACGAAAGUGUGGGGAGCAAACAGGAUUAGAUACCCCAGUAGUC